GCCUAGAUUCACAGACCGGAGGGAAAGAACCAUCUCUGAUAGAAGUGCAAAACAGUCACAUGAUAAAAUUUUCAAAAAUACGUGUGAGCAAUUCUAGUGGCUAUCCAAGUUUCUUGCCCCAUGUCAUGACCCACCCAAACUCAUCUGUUCUCCAUUGCAUUUCUCUUCUGUUUUCUUCCUCAAACCAGGGUCAAGGACAUUGUACUUCCCAACAUAUUUAUCCCCAUUUGGUUAAAAAUAUUUACUCCUAUAAGAGGAUAAAAUAAUCUUAUCAACUCUGGAAGGAAAUGACUUAAUAGCUUUACACAGCUGGGCCAGCCCACUGGGAGUAUCUUGUCUGCCCACAGGUGUAGCAGAAGCCAUCAAACUUUCACAGUGGUGCUUCAUGGCUUAGUCCUUAGCUUGGGCCAAGACAGGACAUUACCUGGAAAGUUUCUAACCCUCAUUUAUGUGCUUCAAAUUGUGGAACAUUUGUUUCUGCAUUUUACUUUACCAUUCCCAUAAUGAUGCUCCUAGAUGGGAGCAGAAGACCGGUUUCUCGUUGUCCUUGUGGCAGCAGUAGAUGUUUUGGGAAGGUGCACAAUAACAGGACAUACGUGGAGGGGGAUCCUUUCCCAGGCAGUGAAUCAGAGAAAAAAAAAGCUUGCCAGAGAGGAAUGGAAGAUGAUUUGGAAGCAUGCUAAUGAGCCGGGGGAAAGAUGGAAUUCCCACAUUUUUACUCGUAACUACCUUCACCAGCUGCGAAGACAAAGCCAAGCCAUGGCUUCCUCUCUGCACCCUACCAGCCAUGCUGCGCCUAUUCACUGUCAGGGAACAGACGUGGGAGUGCAGCAGCUCUUUCAGUAUCAUCGUGGAUUUUGGAUUUUGGGUAGUAGUGCUCCAGGUUACCAGACACCUGCCUGUUGAAAGUGAGAAGACCUGCGUUUGGCAGGCUGUAUCAGUUUCAUAACAUCAGACCAUUCAGAGCUUAGCAGGACAGAUAAGAACUCAGAUGAAGUUUCCAUACAUCACCACACAAUGGGGAGGCAAGCUUAGUCAUGAGCAUUCUUCCAGUGUUUUUUCCUUCCUUCCAUACACCGAGAAAAAUAGAUAUUUUCUCUCAAAAUUGCUAAGGAAUGAUUUAUCUAGUAGCUCAUCGUAGUCCUACAGCCUUGAACAUGUGCCUGUCUGCUCCAGUCUCUGCAUAUCGCAAUUACCCGGUGUCUGCUCAUAUUGUCUUAAGUCAAGGGAAGCCUUCAUUGAAGACAGUAAGUGCUCACUGAAGACAUUAACUGCUGCUAUCUGCUUUGGGCACCCAGAUUCCCAAAAGUGAUAUUCCUGUGUGUUGUCUGGGCUUGAGCUGCCUUGAGGAUGCUAUUGAACCUCCAUUGGGCUUUUAUCAGAAAAUAGCUACUUACCCUCUGAACUGCAACACCCCCGAAAGGCAAUGAAGGAACUGCAAAGUGGGAUUGAUGUGUUUGUUGACAGUCAAUAAUGACAACAUUUUGAACUGAGUUUAAUUAUGGCAAUUUUUGUGCAGGAAAGGUGCAGGUUGUGUUCACCAAGUCUAGUGGUUUUAUUUCGACACACUGCAGCACUGAAACAUGCUAAUGUUCCAUUGUCAAGCAGCCGGUAAAAAAAUAAAUAAAAAAAAAAAAGCUGAUAAUUUACA
rnacentral:lncRNA from 1 species